AAUUGACAGGUUUUAGAUGAUGAAGUCAAUGUCACCUAGUUUCCAGGUGACCAGUGUUUCAAGUUCCUUCAGCAUCCUUGGCAGAUGGUGGAGGCCUGCUGCCUUCUCUGUGUGGGCUGUUCCUGGAGCUGAGUGCAUGAAGGUAGCCAGAGGACAGACCUGUUCCUAGGCAAUGAAACAAGUCUUUCCUGUGAUGUCCUUUCAGCUGUCCAGGAAAAGGAGUCCAGUACCGUAGCAGUGAAAUUCAAUAAAAGCCAUGAGCAUGGAAGGACUUAAAAGAUCACCCCAGAAAUGUUUCUAAAACACCGACACCACUCAGUUAUGUAGAUUUACACCGAAAAGGUAAAUCCUCAGAGUAUGCUCCUUCUUCAUCCUAAUUUGAAGAUGGUCUAUCCUGAGACUGGCACAGGGAGUAGCUCCCUCCCUACUUUGAGGACUCACAGAACCAAGGGCUUCUUUCUUGGCUCUCUGCUGAGAUGACAAACUACUGUUCUGGCCCUGACUAUGCAGCAGACUCAUGUUGCCAUGAAUAAAGAUUUUAUCAGCCCCCUCAGAAGAAAAUGAAACAGAAGCGGUAAAAUAAGAACUAAGUUGUUAAAACUCACCACAAACUUAGUGAAUA